AGGGCGAUGUGCGCACGGUUUCGCUGUCCGUGUCCAGCGCCGAUAGCGGCAGCGUUCUGCUCCCGAGAUCGGCGCUCGCACAGAUUCGCCCGCUCCUGAGCCGCAGAUCAAACCGCCGAGACCAUAGUACCGGUCAGUGCGUCACACUGAGCGGCCUCCAGACUCUCGGACAACG